AUUGAAAAGGGAAGGAGACGCCCCCACCUACCCCACAACGCACGGAUCACACUUAACACACAGCCCCCCAUCCCGCUCCCGAGGAACCGCCGCCACCACCCACCGCUCACACCCACCUCACCGCCGGCCAUGGCCUCCCUCACCCUCUCCUCCUCCCCGACCGGGAGAAGAGAAGGCAAGAUAGGAGAAGAGGGAGGGAGAUCCACCACGACCGGUCAGGUCAGGCGGCACGCCCAGACCCGUCGUCGGCGAGCUCCUCUGCUCCGGGAGAUCAGGAGUGUGGGGGCGGCAACCUUAUCUUUCUCGGGACGCCGCCCUUCCUCUGCUCAAGCUGCUCCCAUUCCCAGUGAACGACCACGGCGCCGGACACAACCACGCACCGGCCCGGCAGCCAUGGAAGGUCAGGUGUCUUGGUCCGUCAGCUUCUUCUCCAUGGACAUGGAGAUCCCGCCAUGGAAGGCCUGGAGCCUGAUGCGGUUUGGCAGCUCCCCUGCCUCCCUCCCUUAUGCGCGCAGGCAGUUGCACCACCUACAAGACGGUCUGCUUCUUCUCCAUGGAGGUGUCGCCGCUGCUCCGACCCUAGUGCCGGCCGACGCCAUGGAAGGUUUCGAUUGGAGCCGCUCCCCUCCCUGAUGUGCGCGCGUGCAGGUGGUCCGUGUGCUUCCUUCUUUCCCUCCUGGGACGCCGCUCUCCUGCUGCUCCGACGCCAUGGAUGGACACAUGUACCAACACCUGGGACAAGAUCAAGAUGCGGGUGCAUAAGAAGGUGAUCGACCUCACCAGCUCCUCGGAUGACAUCAAGCAGAUCACCUGGAUCGCCAUGGAUAGGUCAAGGUGACCUUAAAGGGUGCCUAGGACAAGCAACUGCUGGCGGAGGGCCCUUUGAGGAUGCCCACCAAGGUGCUCAACAUGACCACCUAGGAAGUCCGUUUUUGGCAAAGCUGUGUCAUAACCUCCAGGUCCAGCUACUAUGGCUCAAUGGACCACCUCCUCCUCGGCCAGUACCGAUGCAAAGGAGAUAAGGGGUUCAUCGUGCCAAGCAAGGUUCAUGGUGGUAGGCUCGGUCUCCGGCCAUGGCGUCUUCCGUUGGUCCUGCUGCUGUGCGACAGAGGCGGUUUUGUUCGGCAUCAGCUACAAAACAGCUAUGGUGGUCGAGUUCAUGGCCGUCGAGCCACGGCUAUGGUGGUCGUGCUGCGUUCAUGGCCAUCGAGCCAUGGCUAUGGUGGUCGCGCUGCGUUCAUGGCCAUGUCUGGUCAGGGUUUGGUCUCCUUGCAUAAUGAUGAAGCAGGGGCUUGCGAACCAAAAGUAUCAACUUGGAGCUCCUCUCUGCCCAAAUAUAUGACAUACGUAAAGAUCCCAAACCAGCAAGGUCUUGCGCAUGCGGCGGCCGCCUUUUGAAUAUCUUCAGCUUGGUCUCAUCGUCUUCGUCCAGCUCUCCAAUGUCAACGAUGGCUACAAACAUUAAAGGUGAGACCUCCCGCCUUCUCUUCCCCCCCUUGCUCUGGGCACGUGAUCAUCGAGCCACAACUGUUUAGGUUUUUGGUAAAUGAUGCCUUGAUGGCCAUGUCUGACAGUUGACAGAAAGUUGCACUGUGAUGUGCUUGAAUUGCAGACUCUCAGUUUGAUUUUCGCCAUUUCACUUUUUAUAUUCUAUAGGUAAAGAGUAGUAUUGGGGGUUUGAACCCAGAAUCUGCAUGUCAUGAUUUGAGUCAGGAUAAGAAGUCAAAAUCUCAUGAAGGUAGUACAAGGGGGAAUCACUUUCUAGACAUAGGUGUGGCCAAGUCCCAUUUUGAAAUUGUAGUUUUUUGAAUUGUUUGUUCGAUAGCACCGUUCAGGCGCACAUUUCUCCUUAAAUUGCUCACCCAACUGGUGGUGCAAACGACUCAUCACAAUUACCUUGAGUCACACAAUCCAUUUUUAAUGGAGUAAGCGUAUGUGAUCCUCUUGUCCUUCUCAGAGCACACGAUGAGAAGGCAAACAUUUAGGUCAAGCCAUCUCAGUUUGCUGCAUUCAAAUUCCAGACCAAUUAACCAACUCAGAUUGUGGCAGUUGGUUGUAGAAAUGUUCACUCACCCUUCCAGAUUAUUACUUGAGGUUAGAUAUGCUAUACAUAUAAACUAUGCUAGUGUUUGAUAGCGAUCUGUUGGGCAUAGUAUUGUUUUUGCUGGGGUCUAUCUAUUUAGAGUUUAGUCAUAGAUGUGCCUAGUAUUAUUUUUGCUUGUAAAGUACAACCUCUGUAAACAAAUAUAAGACGUUUUAUGGACUUGUGUCGAGUCUCUAAAACGUCUUAUAUUUAUUUACGGAGGGAAUAGUUAUCUUGUAGGAACAUAGAUAGAUAAAGGGAUCAUGGAGGCAUAUAUUAGCGAGCUUGGGCUGGUUCUAGGUGUUGAGAAUGAAAAGUCGUGGCCAUUUUCUAGUUCAUGACGAAGCAGAAUUUUGUUUUAGAUCAUGUAUGUUUGACUAAUUGCCAAGUUUUCGUCAUAUUUCUCAGCCUGUGAAAAUUCCGGCCCUUGUGAAACAAGGAAGUUUGUUUCUUUUUUUGUUGCACACUUGUAGCUAAAGAUUGACUAGGACAUUGCUGUCUUUUUAUUGCUGCUUGAUCGGAACCCUUCAGUCUCGUUGAUAGCUAGCAUGCCCUGUGACUAAUGAUUACUCGAGGAACUCUUAUUUACUCUUGAUAAUUUACUAAGAAAACUCUGCAGUUUAACGGACUGAGUUGAUUGAUCUUACUUUUGAUGGGUUUUGUUGUUGGAAACAACGCAAACUAGGAGGGGGUCCUUAGAUGGCUGACUGAAAGUUAUAUGUUUUGUUGUGUGCAGAUUAUGGAACACACAUUGCACUUUUUUAGCUUAGUCUCAGCCUACUGGACAUUGCUUGUAGUUUCUUGCUUUAAACUCAUAUGUGUUGGCAAUUCUUUUCUUUGUUUUUGCUGUGACGAAGAGCUUCUAGCUAUGAGAGGCAAAAGAAGAUGGUCGUCCGAAUCCGUUUAAGCUUUUAGCUUUGGUGGCGCGCGAAGAGAAAGGUUUGUUUUCGGACUCGAGGCAGACCAAGCAACUAGGCUGUUGAGAACAAGGGACAUGGGACCUGGCGCUGCUCAUGACAACGGUCGUUUCUUGGUGUAUGUAAUGGACUAGCCGUUGUACCUGCACGCUUGUAGUGUUUUCCUUCCAUCUGAGAUACAAAAUGGCAAUUCUUUGCCCCUGUGCAUGCAUUUCUUUCUGCCUGUUAUGCUGCCGAAAUUUCUAGCCAAGGAUUGCCCGAUUUGUCAAAAUUUUGUCCUUGUUUGUAAUGAAAUAAAAAACAUGAGGGCGCCGACUGCAAAAUUUUGUCCUUGUUUGUAACUGGCAGAGUGUGGAUGGGGAAUAACCUAAACAUGCAAACCCAGAUUAUGAAGGCUAGGAUGACAUUAUGAAGGAGAGUAAAGAUGGGAUUUCCAAGUAAGUAUACCAUUCCAGCGUGAGCUACCAGCUCCAAAUUCACAGCAGCCGACAAGCCUCCAAGAAGCACGCAGCGGCCGCUAUGGUCAUCGUCACCAGUACAUUCUGCACAGCUGCCACAGCACUGCCCCAGCUCACCUCCUUUGCAGCACGCCAUGGUCGCCGGGGGGCAGCAGAGCGUGCAAGAAAUCCUUGAGAUGUUGGGGCCUGUCCCACCCGUCCUUGGGGCUGAUGUGCAGGCGGCGGAUGGAUCUCCAGGCGUGGCGCCAGCGGCCGGCCAGCAAGCUUGUCCGGACCGCGUCAUUCGCCGGCAGGAAGCCAAGGGCGUGCUGGAGGAGCGCUGAGCCGAUCCUCGCUGCCGGGCAUGGAUGCUUUCCUGGCCUUGCAAAAAUAGCUGGACUACCGUCGAACAGGUAGUGAGCACCACCGCGCUGGAUCGAUGCUGUGGUCACAAGAAAACAAUGACGAAAUGAAGCAAAGAAGCGGGGGGAAAAACACGGUGGAAGACGAGCUUACCUCACCGAGGCUUAGCUUCACUCGCCGCUGCGCAAAUGCAAGGAAUCGUCCAACCCCAACGGAGAAGACAAAGCGCGUGAGAGCUCUCUAUUUCAGCUCAGCUCAAGGACGAGAUGGGGUACGAGAUGGAGUGGUGGAGAGCACAGAGCAGUUAUUACCACCAGGAAGAAGCUCACCUACUGUACUAGAGGGACUGAGAUCCAGUGACUCGUCUUCAGCAAGUCACGUUGUAACUGGCCGCCAAUCAUCUGCCGUUGAAACCACAUCCAAGAGACCGCAGUGAAGGAAAGCAAAAAAGGCUCACACUUAUGUCCAGGCACCCAUCCAGCACAGAUUUGUGGCGGGGGAAAGGAGGACAAGGAUGGCUUUGGCGCGAAGAGCCAGCUCAGAGCAGCCGAGUGCCGUCGCCGCGGAGGGUAGGCAGCGUCGCGCGGCCGUGAGGGCAAGGGAGGAGUGCCCCGACGGGCCGGGAAGCUGCUGCUGCAAGCGCCGCGUGAGCUGGGGAGGAGGUCCGCCGCAGAUCGAGCAGGAGCGCCGCCGCAGAUUGAGGAGGAGCGCCGCCCGCGCGGGCCAGGGAGGAGCGCCGCCGUAGAUCAGCUACGCUGGCCGACCUCCUUGCUCACGUCGCUCGGACCCGCCCGUCCCUCCCCGACGCCGGCCCUCUAGCUACCAGAAUUUGGGUUGUGCAAUGACAGAAAUCAGCAAAAGGAUACCUCAAGUUGGUAUGAGAUUCAGAGAUUCACAUGAGGCCUGGAUGUUUUGGGUAGAAUAUGGGGGUCACAUAGGUUUUGAUGUGAGAAAAAGAUGCACCAACUUAAACAAAUUUGAUGGAAAGGCGACUUCAUGCAGAUUUGUUUGUUCCAAUGAAGGCAUUAGAAGGAAGGGACAAACCGACCGUGAGCCAAAACAUUUUAGAGCUGAAACAAGAACUAAUUGUAGAGUUCAGAUGGUUAUUAGAUUGGAUCGAGCUGCAGAAAAUUAUGAAGUUACUGAUGUUGAACUGAAACACAACCACUAUCUUCAAUUGCCACAAACACGCCACUUGUUGGUUGCAUGUUGUAGAGUAUUGGAUGGAAAUAACAAAUUUGCUAUUACCAUUGGGAGUUUGCAUGGUGAUU